rnacentral:rRNA from 1 species
ACACUGUUCAACGGCCGCGGUAUCCUAACCGUGCGAAGGUAGCGUAAUCACUUGUUCUUUAAUUGAGGGACUUAAUAUGAACGGCCCCACGAGGACUACACUGUCUCCUUUUUCUAAUCAAUGAAACUGAUCUCCUCGUGAAGAAGCGAGGAUAAUUAUAUAAGACGAGAAGACCCUUAUGGAGCUUUAAACAACCGGGGUACUUGCUAAUUCAUUUUAUAUCUUCUGAAAACUAAACAAAUUAAAGCAUCUUAUCACCAAGUUUUAGGUUGGGGUGACCACGGAGAAAAAAUUAACCUCCACGCUGUAAGAAAUCCACCAUCUUCUAAGCUUAGAGCCACAUUUCCAAGCAUCAACAUAUUGACUUACAUUGACCCAAUAAUUUGAUCAACGAACCAAGUUACCCUAGGGAUAACAGCGCAAUCUACUUUAAGAGCUCAUAUCGACAGUAGGUUACGACCUCGAUGUUGGAUCAGGGUAUCCUAGUGGUGUANCCGCCU